UACGAAGGGAGCUAGCGUUGUUCGGAAUUACUGGGCGUAAAGGGCGCGUAGGCGGUACCAUAAGUCAGAUGUGAAAGCCCUGGGCUUAACCUAGGAGGUGCAUUUGAUACUGUGGAACUAGAGAUCGAGAGAGGAAAGUGGAAUUACGAGUGGAGAGGUGAAAUUCGUAGAUAUUCGUAAGAACACCAGUGGCGAAGGCGACUUUCUGGAUCGAUACUGACGCUAAGGCGCGAAAGCGUGGGGAGCAAACAGG
rnacentral:rRNA from 1 species